UACAUGGGGUGCAAACGUUGCUCGGAAUUAUUGGGCGUAAAGGGCGCGUAGGCGGUCUGUCGCGUCGGGAGUGAAAACUCAGGGCUUAACCCUGAGCCUGCUUCCGAUACGGGCAGACUAGAGGUAUGCAGGGGAGAACGGAAUUCCUGGUGUAGCGGUGGAAUGCGCAGAUAUCAGGAGGAACACCGGUGGCGAAGGCGGGUCUCUGGGCCGUAACUGACGCUGAGGAGCGAAAGCGUGGGGAGCGAACAGG
rnacentral:rRNA from 1 species